AUUGAAGUUCUACAAGACUCAAAAAUGAACAAAAGGAUGCACAGUAGUUCUUCAUGUGGGGGAUGGUCAGCGGGAGAUGGCACUUCAUAAGAUCUGCGGUGGUCACCCCAGUCAUCAUCCGACGUGUUGCACCAGUCUGUGGCACUUCAUAAGGUCUGCAGUGGUCACCCCAGUCAUCAUCCGAUGUGUUGCACCAGUUUGUGGCACUUCAUAAGUUCUGCGGUGGUCACCCCAGUCAUCAUCCGACGUGUUGCACCAGUGUGUGUUGCUGUUUGAGCCGUGCUGCCGACCCCUUCCAGGGCAUCUGCCAUGGGCACCUCCUCCAGCCCGUGCACUAAGACUCAAGAGAGUCGAAGAACCAGGGAAUCGUUGUAAUAACAAGCAUUCUGAAUUGCAUCGUACUGUGUACUAGGAGUAUUCGGGAACUUCUGUUGCUGGAAACACGGGAGAGCAUUCUGCCCGAAGGCCGCACUGCCAUUUCUCCUUUGAGGUAGAACAUCACCUUGGUGCAGAGCACUCCAUGAGGUCUCCUCCC
rnacentral:lncRNA from 1 species